UACAGAGGGUGCAAGCGUUGUUCGGAAUUACUGGGCGUAAAGGGCUCGUAGGUGGCCAACUAAGUCAGACGUGAAAUCCCUCAGCUUAACUGGGGAACUGCGUCUGAUACUGGAUGGCUUGAGUUUGGGAGAGGGAUGCGGAAUUCCAGGUGUAGCGGUGAAAUGCGUAGAUAUCUGGAGGAACACCGGUGGCGAAGGCGGCAUCCUGGACCAAUACUGACACUGAGGAGCGAAAGCCAGGGGAGCAAACGGG
rnacentral:rRNA from 1 species